GAUGAACGCUGGCGGCGUGCCUAAUACAUGCAAGUCGAGCGAACGGACGAGAAGCUUGCUUCUCUGAUGUUAGCGGCGGACGGGUGAGUAACACGUGGAUAACCUACCUAUAAGACUGGGAUAACUUCGGGAAACCGGAGCUAAUACCGGAUGAUAUUUUGAACCGCAUGGUUCAAAAGUGAAAGACGGUCUUGCUGUCACUUAUAGAUGGAUCCGCGCUGCAUUAGCUAGUUGGUAAGGUAACGGCUUACCAAGGCAACGAUGCAUAGCCGACCUGAGAGGGUGAUCGGCCACACUGGAACUGAGACACGGUCCAGACUCCUACGGGAGGCAGCAGUAGGGAAUCUUCCGCAAUGGGCGAAAGCCUGACGGAGCAACGCCGAGUGAGUGAUGAAGGUCUUCGGAUCGUAAAACUCUGUUAUUAGGGAAGAACAUAUGUGUAAGUAACUGUGCACAUCUUGACGGUACCUAAUCAGAAAGCCACGGCUAACUACGUG
rnacentral:rRNA from 1 species